CAGAGUGUCAGCUUAUUUGGACAAUCUCCUUCUCUCUGCUCCGUCAUGGAGGCAGACGGAGAUAGAUACGAAUCGGCUUGUGUUUCAUUUAAAAGCCUUAGGCUUUAAAAUAAAUGACACAAAAAGCUGCUUAGUGCCCACGCAGGAAAUAAUUUAUCUGGGUCUCAGGCUGAACUCAGACAUGUACCAGGCAUUCUUAUCAGAGGAGUGCAUUGUCAAUUCGUGGUUGUCUCUCCCUUUUCCAGAAAGGGAAAAAAAGUCCCAUUCAGAGCAUGUUUACAUCUUCAAGGCCUGAUGGCCUCGGCCGUGUUGGUCAUCCCAUUGGGACUGUUACGGAUGAGAGAGUUUCAGUGCUGGGUAGCGGAACAGCGUUUAUGUCCGAAGCGCCACCUCUACUGCAAAGUGAUAACGUUGUCACAUUGCUUGCGCGCUCUCUGCUGCUGCAGCGAUCACAUUUUUCUGGAAUCAGGGACUCCACUGGAAACUAUUUCUCUGAGAAAGGUGGUAACGACGGAUGUGUCAAUCAUGGGUUGGGGUGCAGCGUGCGAGGGCAGAAUAGCGAAAGGAAAAUGGCCCAUCUCGCUACAAAACGCACAUAUAAACUUCCUGGAACUGUUAACAGUGUCUAGCAUUGAAACAUUUCAUGCGGUUCCUACGGAAUCACCAUGUUUUGGUCAGAUCGGACAACACAACGGUAGUGGCAUAUAUAAAUCGCCAUUGGGAACACAUUCUCCCCAGCUUCACAGUCUAGCACGACAACUCAUUGUGUGGGGCUUGAAGCAUUUUCAUUCAUUACAAGUGACUCAUGUCCCAGGAAUAAUAAAUGUGGGGGCAGAUCUCCUGUCCAGGGGCCAUCCUUGGUAUGGAGAAUAGACUCUCCACCCCCAGGUAGUGAACCAGUUGUGGAAGAGGUUCGGCCUAGCUGCCGCAGAUCUUUUCACCUCGCACGAAAAUACCCAUUGCACCCUAUUCUUUUCUCUGGCGAGAGACUGUGCUCCGAAGGGUGUGGAUGCUUUGGCUCACCUGUGGCCAAAUGUACUGCUUUACGCAUUUCCUCUGCUGAGUCUGAUCAUACCAACUCUAAAAAGAGUAAGAGAGUGUGGUCACUCAUUAAUUUUGAUCACGCCAAACUGGUCAGGGAAGUUGUGGCUGACGGAGAUAAUCCAGCUUCUGCACGAUUGGCCCUGGCCCUCUCCCAAUGUGCAGAGACCUCCUCUCACAAGCUCGCUGAGAGAUUUUUCAUCCGGCCCCAGACAAAGUGGAUCUGGAUAUGAUAGAAAAUGGAACGUAUUUGAAUUGUGGUGCGCUCAAAGGCAAACUGUACCUUUUCAAUAUUCAGUGGCAGAGGUGUUGUGUUUACCGCAAGAACUUUUAGAUCAGGGUAGAGCCUUCUCUACCGUUAAGGUUUAUCUUGCUGCAAUUUCUGCUUGCCAUGUGGGGAUUGACAGGAAUAAUAUAGGCCAACACCCACUUGUGUGCAGGUUUAUGAGGGGUGCGCGGCGUGUGAACAGGUUUUCAAAGCUUCUGAUUCUGCCGUGGCUUCUGUCCAUGGUCCUUAACGCACUCUGUCAGUCGCCUUUUGAGCCGGUAGAUAAUAUAGAUUUUUAUUUUGAGCUGACAGAUAAGCUCCUUUCGAUAAAGGUUGCUUUGUUAUUGGCUCUGACGACCGCGAAACGAGUUAAUGAACUUCAUGCUUUGCCGGUUCAUAACUCUUGUAUGGCAUUUGCUGCAGAUUUCUCGCGAGUAUCUCUCAAGACUAACCCAGCGUUUGUGCCUAAGGUGAGCGAGUCAACUUUCGUCUGUAGACAGGUGGAUUUACUGGCUUUUCAUUGCCCCCCUUUUUCCUCGUUGGAAGAGGAGUAGUUUUAUUGUUUGUGCCCUGUCCAUGCGGUGCAGAAGUUUGAAAAGACAAUAGAAUGUUGUUUGCUCCAUUCGAGCAUUGUUUGUUAUGUGUAGCGCUCAACCACAGUGUCAGACCCUAAGUGUUUGCUAGUUCAUACAAGUUAAAUGGAGGUGAAAAGGACAAGGUUUUUUUUUCUUUUUUUGUACUUAGGUUGUUGUUUAUACCUUUGCAAUAUGUUUGAGUACAACUUACCAACCAGGCAGGCAUUAAAGUACCUUUUUUGCAACCAUUGUAUGUUUUGUUACUGCAUAUGUACACUAUUUAAAAUGUAAUUUUUAUCUUUAUGUUAUUCUAAAAUGUUGUUCUGUCUUUGUCUAGGUACAGCACCAGAGUCCUAUUUGGUGGAAAGAGCCACAACAUAGUGAUGCCAAUUUGAUGGACAUUAGUGGCACUGUAUGCAGUGCCUUCAUUUCCACGUCUUGCAGUACCCCCCUAUGUCUCUGUACCACCUGUAAUGUCCUUGUUCUCUUUUAGUUGCAAAGAGACGAAUGGUUGAUGCUAGUGUCGUAAGUCUGGUGAAAGAGAUGAUGGAGAAAGAGGAAGUGGACUGCAGACAAUGUCAAUAAGGCAUUGCAUUUGCUCCUGACUUUUUAAUGGAGCUGGCACAGAGAGAAGCUGAGGAGCAUGAACGGCUGCUUUAACAGGAGGCAGAAGCAUGGCGUCAGCAGGCUGUUUUUAUGUAAGGCCUUCUGGCCACUACGAAAAAGCUGGUGGCAGGUGCACAGCACCCACGUGAACCUACUCUCGACUAGCCCUAUAAAUGUUUAAUUUUUUUUUAUUUUAAUUACAUUUUCUUGUUUGUACAUUUACAUUUGUUUUUUUUCUGUUUUUAUGUAUUUGUUAGUUUAUAUAUUUAAAAAGAGACACUAUUUAUAUU